UGGCGGCAGAUUACGGGCGCCGCGUCUGCCUGCGCUGGGCGGCCCUGACUAAGGCCGUUGCGCUCCUGACAUGCACUUUGUCCCAUCCACCUUAUUGUUUAUUAGUGAAUACAAUAUUUUUAUGAUUUUUACAGUAAAAUUACAUUGUAUUAUUUAUGUCAUAAAAGCACACUUCUCUUGUGGUUACAUUAUAGGAGUAAUGUAGGAAAAUACAGUAACAAUUGUCAAUCAUAAUAAAUGACAAAGCAUUUUAAUAACUACGUUGACAUAGAGCUAGUUUAUUGAGCAUACUAUCAAAGUCAUAGAAGUAACAGGAGAGUACAAAAGAUACACAACAAUUAGGUCGAUAUUUGAAAUAGUCGGAAUUCCAAAAUGAAAGUUUUUUCAAAAUAUCAGUCUACGGAAGGGUGUUAGCGGGGGUGGUCGCAGGUGAGCCGGUGGUGAGCGGAGAGCGGUCUUCGAACAAUGGAAGUACGUGAAGGCAUCCACUUGUCGCGCUCACACGGAGCCUGCGUCAAAAGCCUUAUUGUUUGACUCCGGUAAGUUUUUCGGUGAUUUGUGUGAAAUUAGCGACCUCUCUGUUGCCAUAAAAACGAGCAAUUAUUCAUCCAUUUCAAUUAAACGUUAUGUAACUAAAAUGAAAUAAAAAACGACAACGACAAA